ensembl:snRNA U6 U6 spliceosomal RNA
GUGCUCACUUCAGCAGCGCAUAUACUCAACUGGACCAAUAAUAGAGAUUAACAUGACCCUUGUCCAAGGAUGAGAUGUAAAUUCUUGAAACAUUUUAUGUUUUU